rnacentral:tRNA from 1 species
GCGGGCAUAGCUCAACUGGUAGAGUGACGGUCUCCAAAACCGUAGGCUGGGGGUUCGAGUCCUCCUGCCCGCG